UGGGGAAUAUUGCACAAUGGGCGAAAGCCUGAUGCAGCGACGCCGCGUGAGGGAUGACGGCCUUCGGGUUGUAAACCUCUUUCAGUAGGGACGAAGCGCAAGUUACGGUACCUGCAGAAGAAGCACCGGCUAACUACGUGCCAGCAGCCGCGGUAAUACGUAGGGUGCGAGCGUUGUCCGGAAUUACUGGGCGUAAAGAGCUCGUAGGCGGUUUGUCACGUCGUCUGUGAAAUCCUAGGGCUUAACCCUGGACGUGCAGGCGAUACGGGCUGACUUGAGUACUACAGGGAAGACUGGAAUUUCUGGUGUAGCGGUGGAAUGCACAGAUAUCAGGAAGAACACCGAUGGCGAAGGCAGGGCUCUGGGUAGUAACUGACGCUGAGGAGCGAAAGCAUGGGUAGCGAACAGG
rnacentral:rRNA from 1 species